UACAUAGGGUGCAAGCGUUGUCCGGAAUUAUUGGGCGUAAAGAGCUCGUAGGUCGUUUGCCGCGUCGAUUGUGAAAAUCUGAGGCUCAACCUCAGACCUGCAGUCGAUACGGGCAAACUAGAGUGUGGUAGGGGAGACUGGAAUUCCUGGUGUAGCGGUGGAAUGCGCAGAUAUCAGGAGGAACACCAAUGGCGAAGGCAGGUCUCUGGGCCAUAACUGACACUGAGGAGCGAAAGCGCGGGGAGCGAACAGGAUUAGAUACCCUGGUAGUCCGCGCCGUAAACGAUGGGCACUAGCUGUGAGAGCCUUCCACGGUUCUCGCGACGCAGCAAACGCAUUAAGUGCCCCGCCUGGGGAGUACGAUCGCAAGAUUAAAACUCAAAGGAAUUGACGGGGCCCCGCACAAGCAGCGGAGCAUGCGGCUUAAUUCGACGCAACGCGAAGAACCUUACCAAGGCUUGACAUAUAGCGAAAAGUGGCAGAGAUGUCAUGUCCGCAAGGGCGCUAUACAGGUGGUGCAUGGUUGUCGUCAGCUCGUGUCGUGAGAUGUUGGGUUAAGUCCCGCAACGAGCGCAACCCUCGUUCUGUGUUACCAGCAUUCAGUUGGGGACUCACAGGAGACUGCCGGGGUCAACUCGGAGGAGGGUGGGGAUGACGUCAAAUCAUCAUGCCCCUUAUGUCUUGGGCUGCACGCAUGCUACAAUGGCCGGUACAAAGUGCUGCGAAAUCGUAAGAUUUAGCGAAUCACAUAAAGCCGGUCUCAGUUCGGAUUGAGGUCUGCAACUCGACCUCAUGAAGUCGGAGUUGCUAGUAAUCGUAGAUCAGCAACGCUACGGUGAAUACGUUCCCGGGGCU
rnacentral:rRNA from 1 species